UACGGAGGGUGCAAGCGUUAUCCGGAAUCACUGGGUUUAAAGGGUGCGUAGGCGGCAUGAUAAGUCAGGGGUGAAAGGCCGUCGCUUAACGAUGGAAUUGCCUUUGAUACUGUUAUGCUUGAAUCAAGUUAAGGCUGGCGGAAUGUGGCAUGUAGCGGUGAAAUGCAUAGAUAUGCCAUAGAACACCGAUUGCGAAGGCAGCUGGCUAGGCUUAGAUUGACGCUGAGGCACGAAAGCGUGGGGAGCGAAC
rnacentral:rRNA from 1 species